AUACGGAGGGUGUAAGCGUUACUCGGAAUCACUGGGCGUAAAGCGCGCGCAGGCGGCUAUUUAAGUUGGAUGUGAAAGCCUACGGCUCAACCGUAGAACUGCAUCCAAAACUAUUUAGCUAGAGUGUGGGAGAGGAAGAUGGAAUUAGUUGUGUAGGGGUAAAAUCCGUAGAGAUAACUAGGAAUACCAAAAGCGAAGGCAAUCUUCUGGAACACUACUGACGCUGAGGCGCGAAAGCGUGGGGAGCAAACAGGAGUAGAUACCCUAGUAGUCC
rnacentral:rRNA from 1 species